rnacentral:rRNA from 1 species
UACGUAGGGUGCAAGCGUUGUCCGGAAUUAUUGGCGUAAAGAGCUCGUAGGCGGUCUGUCGCGUCUGCUGUGAAAACCUAGGGCUUAACUCUGGGCGUGCAGUGGGUACGGGCAGACUAGAGUGCGGUAGGGGAGACUGGAAGUUCUGGUGUAGCGGUGAAAUGCGCAGAUAUCAGGAGGAACACCGGUGGCGAAGGCGGGUCUCUGGGCCGUAACUGACGC